UUUUGGUUCAAGUCCCUCUAUCCCCA
rnacentral:tRNA from 1 species